UACAGAGGUCUCAAGCGUUGUUCGGAUUUAUUGGGCGUAAAGAGCUCGUAGGCGGCUUGUCGCGUCGACUGUGAAAACCCGCAGCUUAACUGUGGGCUUGCUUUCGAUACGGGCAGACUUGAGGCAUGCAGGGGAGAACGGAAUUCCUGGUGUAGCGGUGAAAUGCGCAGAUAUCAGGAGGAACACCGGUGGCGAAGGCGGUUCUCUGGGCAUGUUCUGACGCUGAGGAGCGAAAGUGUGGGGAGCGAACAGG
rnacentral:rRNA from 1 species